rnacentral:rRNA from 1 species
AUUGAACACUGGCGGCAGGCCUAACACAUGCAAGUCGAACGAGUGGCGGACGGGUGAGUAAUGUAUGGGAAACUGCCUGAUGGAGGGGGAUAACUACUGGAAACGGUAGCUAAUACCGCAUACCAUCGGAUGUGCCCAGAUGGGAUUAGCUAGUAGUUGGGGUAACGGCUCACCGAGGCGACGAUCCCUAGCUGGUCUGAGAGGGUGACCAGCCACACGGGAACUGAGACACGGUCCAGACUCCUACGGGAGGCAGCAGUGGGGAAUAUUGCACAAUGGGCGCAAUCCUGAUGCAGCCAUGCCGCGUGUAUGAAGAAGGCAUUCGGGUUGUAAAGUACUUUCAGCGGGGAGGCGUUACCCGCAGAAGAAGCACCGGCUAACUCCGUGCCAGCAGCCGCGGUAAUUC